rnacentral:rRNA from 1 species
CCCUUAGAGUUUGAUCCUGGCUCAGGAUGAACGCUGGCGGCGUGCUUAACACAUGCAAGUCGAGCGAAGCACUUUGGAAAGAUUCUUCGGAUGAUUUCCUUUGUGACUGAGCGGCGGACGGGUGAGUAACGCGUGGGUAACCUGCCUCAUACAGGGGGAUAACAGUUAGAAAUGACUGCUAAUACCGCAUAAGACCACGGUACCGCAUGGUACAGUGGUAAAAACUCCGGUGGUAUGAGAUGGACCCGCGUCUGAUUAGGUAGUUGGUGGGGUAACGGCCCACCAAGCCGACGAUCAGUAGCCGACCUGAGAGGGUGACCGGCCACAUUGGGACUGAGACACGGCCCAGACUCCUACGGGAGGCAGCAGUGGGGAAUAUUGCACAAUGGAGGAAACUCUGAUGCAGCGACGCCGCGUGAAGGAUGAAGUAUUUCGGU